rnacentral:sRNA from 1 species
UAUCAGAUAGGGAUUGUAGUGGCAUCCUUGGUUUGUUAACACACUAACAAACCAAGAUACAACGGAAAGCCCGCAGAACU